rnacentral:lncRNA from 1 species
AGGUGGAGUAAUGUGCUGCUGGAGUGUUGAGAACAGUCUUGAGUUUCUCCUCAGGGUCUAACUCCAUUCUUAAACAGUUUGCUUUCUGUGACCAAUACAAUGUCACCCAUCUUCCCCAAUUCUCUUGACAUUUCUACAAAUUUCUGCCUAUAAAUGGCUUCUACUCUCCAAGUCCAUCUAUUACCUUUGAACUUUCUGACCUCUGAAUCACCCUGGCCCCAAUAGUGUUAUAACAACGUCAUCUAAUGAACAAUAAUUUAGUCCUGCAUUCCUCUGGUUGAGAUUUGAAAGGAAAUGGGGAGAUAAGAUACUUGGAUAUGUCAAUCACAGAUGAGGGAGAGCAGGAAAGACUUCAUGCCAUUAGGGUAUAGAGUGGGAAUCACCA